UCGUCAGCUCGUGUCGUGAGAUGUUGGGUUAAGUCCCGCAACGAGCGCAACCCUUGUUACUAGUUGCCAGCAUUGAGUUGGGCACUCUAGUGAGACUGCCGGUGACAAACCGGAGGAAGGUGGGGACGACGUCAGAUCAUCAUGCCCCUUAUGACCUGGGCUACACACGUGCUACAAUGGACGGUACAACGAGUCGCAAACUCGCGAGAGUAAGCUAAUCUCUUAAAGCCGUUCUCAGUUCGGACUGUAGGCUGCAACUCGCCUACACGAAGUCGGAAUCGCUAGUAAUCGCGGAUCAGCAUGCCGCGGUGAAUACGUUCCCGGGCCUUGUACACACCGCCCGUCACACCAUGGGAGUUUGUAACGCCCAAAGUCGGUGGCCUAACCUUUAUGGAGGGAGCCGCCUAAGGCGGGACAGAUGACUGGGGUGAAGUCGUAACAAGGUAACCGUA
rnacentral:rRNA from 1 species